GAUGAACGCUGGCGGCGUGCUUAACACAUGCAAGUCGAACGGGAAACCUUUUAUUGAAGCUUCGGCAGAUUUAACUGGUUUCUAGUGGCGGACGGGUGAGUAACGCGUGGGUAACCUGCCUUGUACAGGGGGAUAACAGUCAGAAAUGACUGCUAAUACCGCAUAAGCGCACAGGACCGCAUGGUCCGGUGUGAAAAACUCCGGUGGUAUAAGAUGGACCCGCGUUGGAUUAGCUUGUUGGUGGGGUAACGGCCCACCAAGGCGACGAUCCAUAGCCGGCCUGAGAGGGUGAACGGCCACAUUGGGACUGAGACACGGCCCAGACUCCUACGGGAGGCAGCAGUGGGGAAUAUUGCACAAUGGGGGAAACCCUGAUGCAGCGACGCCGCGUGAAGGAAGAAGUAUCUCGGUAUGUAAACUUCUAUCAGCAGGGAAGAAAAUGACGGUAC
rnacentral:rRNA from 1 species